rnacentral:rRNA from 1 species
CCUACGGGAGGCAGCAGUGGGGAAUAUUGCACAAUGGGGGAAACCCUGAUGCAGCGACGCCGCGUGAGUGAAGAAGUAAUUCGUUAUGUAAAGCUCUAUCUGCAGGGAAGAAAAUGACGGUACCUGAGUAAGAAGCCCCGGCUAACUACGUGCCAGCAGCCGCGGUAAUCCGUAGGGGGCAAGCGUUAUCCGGAUUUAUUGGGGGUAAAGGGAGCGUAGACGGCAGUGCAAGGCUGGAGUGAAAGGCGGGGGCUCAACCCCCGGACUGCUCUUGAAACUGUACGGCUGGAGUGCAGGAGAGGUAAGUGGAAUUCCUAGUGUAGCGGUGAAAUGCAUAGAUAUUAGGAGGAACACCAGUGGCGAAGGCGGCUUACUGGACUGUAACUGACGUUGAGGCUCGAAAGCGUGGGGAGCGAACAGGAUUAGAUACCCUUGUAGUC